rnacentral:lncRNA from 10 species
GAGGGACGAGGAGGCAAGAGGAGAGAGAGAGCAAGUUUCUUGCCUGCACCUAAGGAGAGGGUCAAUACACCAGGGCAAGAGGGAAAAAGGGAAAACAUGAAGGAACACAGGCAGAUGGAAAAAGAAAUUUAUGAAAGAAGAGUCUUUGAUGCUACAUUAUGUCCCAGCCUGAACUCACCCUCCACACGCGCCUGCCCAAGUAUGAGAAGAUCUCCAAGCAUCCGAUCCACCAAAGAAUGCCGCUAACCUUAUCUCAAGCAGAACGCAAAUUCACCCACAACAGCCCCACUGCCCUGGUGCACACCACUUCCUGUCCCCUGGAUAUUCCAGAAGCUUCCUAACAGGGUUCCCUGCUUGCAACAUUGCCACAUUCCCACCUCAGUCUGUUCACAACCGAGGACCCUCAGGAAUCCUUUCAAAGCAUUCAUCAAAAUCUGCAACGCCUUUGCUCAUGACUGUUUCCCACUCACUAGCAGUGAGAUCCAAUCCCGAUCCAAGACCCGGAGGCUUCUUCAGUGAGCGAUAUUGUCCAAGAAACAACUUCCCACUAAAAUGAUCAAGAGAAUGAGAAGUCAAGACAAAGAGUGGGAGAACAUGUUUGCAAAAGACAUAACUUUCGGAUAAAGGACUGUUACCCAAAUUAUUCAAAGAAUUCUUAAAACUCAACAAUAAGGGCCGGGUGUGGUGGCUCAUGCCUGUAAUCCCAGCACUUUGGGAGGCUGAGAUAGGAGGAUCACCUGAGUCGAGACCCUAUCUCUACAACAAAAUUAAAAAAAAAAAAACAAUGAGAAAAUGAACAACCCAAUUAAAGACCAGAGUAGACACUUCAUCAAAGAAGACAUACAGAUGUGAAAAGAGCGUAUGAAAAGGUGCUCAGCAUCAUGCAUCAUUAGGGAAUUGCAAAUUAAAACGACAAAAAGAUACCGCUACACACCGGUUAGAAUGGCCAAAAUCCAGAACACGGACAGCACCAAAUGCUGGUCAGGGUGUGGAGCAGCAAGAACUCUCAUUCAUUGCUGAUGGGGAUGCAAAAUGGUACAGCCACCUUGGAAGACAAUUUUGCAGUUUCUUAUAAAAGUAAACAUACUCUAACCAUAUGAUCAGCAAUUGUACUCCUUGGUAUUUACUCCCAUGAGUUGAAAACAUAUCCACAUAAAAACCUGCACAUAGAUGCUUAUAGCAACCUUAACCGACAAAACUUGGAAGCAAAAAAGAUGUCCUUCAGUAGGAGAAUGGAUAAAUAAAUUAUGAUACACCCAGACAAUGGAAUACUAUGUAGCACUGAAAAGAAAUGAGCUAUCAGCCAUGAAAGGACACGGAGGAAACUUAGCUGGAUAUUACUAAAUGAAAACAGUGACUCUGAAUAGGCUACAUACUGUAUGAUUUCAACUGCAUGACAUUCUGGAAAAGGCAAAACUAUGGAGAGAGAAAAAGGAUCAGUGGUUGCCAGAGGGUAGAGUGAGGGAGGGAAGAAAAAGUGGAGCACAGAGGGUUUUUAGGGCAGUGAAACUAUUCUGUGCCAUGUUAUAAUGCUGGAUACCUGUCAAGAUGUAUUCAUGUAAACUAUAGCCCUUGAGUGAUAAUUAUGUAUCAACAUAGGUUUAUCAGUUGUAACAAAUGUACCACUGUUGCCAUGGAUUGAAUGUUUAUAUCCCUUCAAAUUAGUGCGUUGAAAUCCUUUUUGCUUUUUUUUUUAGUUUCUUUUUUUCUAAGUUCAUGUCAGAUAGGUAAUAUGCCCACAUGGUAGCUGACAGAGCAGAAGCAUCACCAUCUUGGACAAGCACUGCCAUUCUAAAGUUCCCCUUGAUCAAAAAUUGCCUAAAUCCAAAGGUCAUCAGCCUAAUGACUAAGGUCAGCAUGACCAUAAGCCACAAAUGACAUCUCCGACCAGAAACAUUUCAACCAUAAGAUAAAUCCCUCCCUGACCAGAGACAAGCCAGCCCGGAGAUAACUUCCCCCCCGGCAGAGAGAUGUCAGCCCCAACAUAACCUCCCCUUCUGCCAGAGACAUUCCAACCCCACCAUAAACUUCUCCCCCACACAGAAACAUUCCAAGCCUGUGAUAAAGCUCUCUCACUCUAAAACCAAUAUAUACUCUUGUUGUUUAUGAGCCACCGGUCUAUGUUAUUUUGGUUAUAGCAGCCCAAUGGGCUAAGACGAUUGUAGUGCAGGCUGUUGAUAGUUGCAAUAGAGAAUCCUCCUGACUGAAAUUGGCCAGAAGCCCCUUUCAGGUUUAUUCUCCAAAAUAAACCUGUUUUUGACUGUUGAGCCCCUUUUCUGGCUUCUUUCCUCUUUCUUUAACUCUUACAGUAACAAGGUUUGAAGGUGGCACAUCUCACACAUGCAUAGGAACACCCAAUCAUCACGUCUAUGAAUUACAAAAUAAUCUGUGUUGAAAUCCUACCCCACAAGGUGAUGGAUUAGGAGAUGGGCCUUUUGGAGGUGAUUAGUUCAUGAGGGCAGAGGCCUUAGGAAUGAGAUCAGUGCUUUUAUAAAAGAGACCUGAGAGACUCCCUCGCCCCUUCGGCCAUAUGAGGUUACAGUGAGAAAGCCUCACCUAUGAGGAAGCAGGCCCUAACCAGACACCAAAUCUGCCAGCAUGUUGAUCUUGAACUUCCCAGCCUCCAGAACUGUGAGAAAUAAAUUCUUUUGUUUAUAAGCCACUGGUCUAUGUUGUUUUGGUUAUAGCUGCCCAGUGGGCUAAGACGAUUGUAGUGUGGGCUGUUGAUCGUUGGGGAGGCUGUGCAUGUGUGGGGCAGGGAUUAUAUGGGCAUUCUGAACCGCCCACUCAAUUUUGCUGAGAACUUAAAACUGUUCUAAAAAGUAAAGUCUAUUAAAAAAAUAGACUUGUAUUUUAUAGUACAAGAGUACCUGUACCCCCACACACUUCCCACUCUGGAUAUUAUCAGUUAUUUUCCCAGUAAUAUUUACCAAUGUGGUGAGUAAAAGAACUACAUCUCAUUUUAAUUUGAAUAUACAGCCACACCUCAUCUUAUUGCACUUUGUUUUAUUGUGCUUUGCAGAUACCGUGUUUUAUACAAAUUGAAUGUUUGUGGCAGCCAUGCUUUUGGCAAGUCUACCAUCACCAUUUUUCCAACAGCAUGUGCUCACUUCAUGCCUCUGUUAUAGGACCAAUGGGUUCAUAUGCCCACUGUGCAGUAACAGACCCAUUACAUAGUGACAGCAGGGUUUGCAGCAGAGAAAGUUUAAUGAUUGCAGAGUGCUGAGUGACGAGAUGGGAGGAGGCCCUCCCGUUUAUCUCACCAAGGAGCUUUGGUCUGGGGUUUUUAAGGGGAUUAUAGAGGGUGAGAGACUCCCUCCAUAAUUGGAAAAUUGGGGUUGUUGAUUGGUCGGGGGGAAGGGGGGAUGAAAUCAUCACGAUAUGGAAACUGCAUUCUUUGGUGAGUCAGCCCAUUGUGGGGUCCUUCAGACCAGCUGGGUCGGUAGUUUCAUCAGUGUAUGGGACCUGAAGGACUAUCUCACAGGGAAAACUAAACAUUUUAUAAUGUUCACGUUGUUAUCUACGGAGCAGUUAAGGGGAACCGUGAUCUUGUAA